CUUGGACUUGGCUGCUAGACCUGCAACUUGCACAUGGACCAGCCGUGGCUUCGCGCUCAAGCGUUAUUCGAGCGCUGACGUACUGACACGCCCCGUGCCACUCCGGCUUAGCUUUCGCACUAUCGCCGACGGAGUCUUCAUGGCGGACGUGCUCCCGGCAUUGGAUCGAGAGCGCCGACUGUCUUCACACACCCCUUGGGCCACAACGGCAGAUCUCCCUGGCGGAUAUCCUCCCGGCACCACCUCAACUCUACAAACUCUUCAUGCCGCAGGGUCUAGCAAAUGCAGACGAGGCCAUCGUCGAGGAUUUUCAGCGCUGGCAACACAUCGGGGACCGCCACAAGGAUCGUCGUUACUGCGAGCUUCAACAUCGGCAUCAAACAAAAUGGCAGGUGAGCCUGCUAACGAGGCUGACGAGGGUCACGGUCUUCUCCCACGACGGAAGUGCGUGCAAUAGCUUCAGGUUUAGCGAACACUAGGCAGGCAGGUAGGUAGCUGUUAGGGGUUUCCGUCGUGGGGGUAAGACUAAUCCGGAAUGUCGUUGCACUCCCGGCCACCAUUUUGUGCCAGUCUCUGGUGUGGAAUGUGGUGUUCGCGGAUGCAAUACGGCGCCCGGAGUUAACGCGUCAGCCUUUAACAUUUCAGAACCAGCGUUGACUUUAAUCGACACGUCAUCGACCCAGGAUGGUUUCUUUUUUUCUUUCGCUAUCUUGUCGACCCUUGCACUCGUCCUCGUCUGUCCCGUUUCUUCUUGGCAGCAUUAAUUUGUUUGUGCUAAAUCUAGUCAUCACUAGAUUCUAAUAUCUAGUAGUCCAGUUAAAUCUUUAGGCGAACGUUAAAGAA
rnacentral:lncRNA from 1 species